UACGAAGGGGGCUAGCGUUGUUCGGAAUUACUGGGCGUAAAGGGUUUGUAGGCGGUUGAACAAGUCAGUGGUGAAAGCCCAGAGCUUAACUCUGGAAUUGCCAUUGAAACUGUUCAGCUAGAGAGUGUUAGAGGAAAGUGGAAUUCCACGUGUAGCGGUGAAAUGCGUAGAGAUGUGGAGGAACACCAGUGGCGAAGGCGGCUUUCUGGUCUGUAACUGACGCUGAGGCGCGAAAGCGUGGGGAGCAAACAGG
rnacentral:rRNA from 1 species